UCCUGCUAAAGGAAUCUUUUGCCGGUCCUAAAAGCACCGGUGAAUAAGGGGUGGGCAAGUCUGGUGUCAGCCGCCGCGGUAAUACCAGCACCUCGAGUGAUCAGGACGUUUAUUGGGCCUAAAGCAUCCGUAGCUGGCUCUGCAAGUCUCCGGUUAAAUCAACCUGCUUAACAGAUUGGCCGCUGGAGAUACUACAAAGCUAGGGAGUGGGAGAGGCAGACGGUAUUCGGGGGGUAGGGGUAAAAUCCUCUGAUCCUCUGAGGACCACCAGUGGCGAAGGCGGUCUGCCAGAACACGUUCGACAGUGAGGGAUGAAAGCUGGGGGAGCAAACCGGAUUAGAUACCCCCGUAGUCC
rnacentral:rRNA from 1 species